ensembl:lncRNA
CAGCAGCCCAUGCCAAAACUCUGGGGUUCGGGGGCACCUGGGUGGCUCAUGGGUUAAGCAUCUGCCUUUGGCUCAGGUCAUGAUCCGAGCAUCCUGGGAUCGAGUCCCGCAUCAGGCUCCCUGCUCAGCAGGGAGUCUGCUUCUCCUUCUCCCUCUGUCCCUCCCCCAGCUCAUUCUUUAUCUCAGAUAACCUUAAGAAACCCAAAACUCUGGGGUUCCAGUGUGGAAGCCUGAUCCUGCCGCACCACAUGCUCGGCACGUCCCUUCCAGCCCUGCACCCCCCGCCCCAUUGCUAUUUCCAUUCCCGCUUUCCCUGCUUGCCUUGCUCCUCACUGUGCACGUCUGGAAGCCGGGAGAAAUCAUGGCUUCUGUCUUUGCAUUGCCCCUUGCCUUCAGCCCUGGCAUGUUACACGGCACAGAGCAGACAGUUUUAAAUGCCUGCUAAAUCCGGGCAUGUCCGUAAUCAGUGCACAUUCCUUACCUUCCAAAAAAAGUGGAAAAGAAGACUGUCCUGGACACACGAAGGGGGAUGGGGCCAACAGACCCUCUGGGAAGGGAGGACGCUGGGUCCAGAAAAGAAACGAGAACUUCCAACAGAGAUUCUUGCUAACGCCUCCAAAAUGGAUUGAUCUUCUGCCUCAGAUACAAUGUGGGUCUUAGGAAGCUGGAGAUCCGGAUUCGGUGUGUCCGCCCUGGGGCCCAGGACCGUGCAUUUCUGACACCAGCCGAGAAUGCUGCUGCACGCUUUGAGUCGCGGAUGGAGAGAAACACUGAACGGUUGAGUGGUUGUAGGGAACACUAUGGGAUGUGCAUUAGGCAAGGUUCUCUAGGAGAAACAAAUCAACAGGAGAUCUUUACACAUACGGCGAGAGAGAAAGAGAGAGAAAGGUGUAUGGGGGGGAGGUUAUGAUAGGAGUUGGCUCAUAUGAUUACAGAGACUAACGAGUCACCAGCUCUGGCGUCUGCAGGCUGGAGGCCUGGGGGGAGCUGACGGUGUAGGUUUCCGUCUGAAGGCUGGCAGCCCCAGGCCCAGGAGGAGCUGAAGUUUCUGUUUGAGUCUGAAAGCAGGGAAAGACCAAUGUCCUAGCUUAUACGGUCAGGCAAGAGGGACGCCUCCUUACAGGAGGGUCAGCCUGUGGUUCUUCAACUGAUUGGAUGAGGCCCACCCACAUGGAGAGGAGCAGUCUGCUUUACUCCGUCUGCUGAUUCAGAUACCAAUCCCAGGCAAAACACCCUCCUAGAUACACUCAGAAUAAUGUUUGCCGUAAUGUCUGGGCACUCUGUGGCCCAGUCAGGUUGACUCAUAAGACGAAGCACUGUAAGAUGGGAGGGUGCAGCCUCCCUUGGGGGUCUUCAUGGCUCCUGGGUGGUCUUUGCUUAUCUUCUUGGAAUCCUUCGGUCAGAAGAUCCAGAUGUGUCCCCUUGUCAGCUGGAUCUUCAUUACUGCACCAGAUCUCCAUGCUCUCAAGGGCGACUCGCUACCUAACACCUGGGCUCGACCCACGAAUUCUGGCAUAGAAACAACAGACAGUACCUUACACUUAGGUUGAACCCUUUAAUACGGUUGUCCUGGGUGCCUGCUGUGUGAAAGGUCCAGACUGGAGGUCAAGGAGGACCAGGAAUGAGACCUCCUCUAGUGGAAAAGGUUGGGAAAGGACGG